UGGGGAAUAUUGCACAAUGGGGGAAACCCUGAUGCAGCGACGCCGCGUGAACGAAGAAGGUAUUCGUAUCGUAAAGUUCUGUCCUAUGGGAAGAUAAUGACAGUACCAUAGAAGAAAGCUCCGGCUAAAUACGUACCAGCAGCCGCGGUAAUACGUAUGGAGCGAGCGUUGUCCGGAAUUAUUGGGCGUAAAGGGUACGCAGGCGGUUUAAUAAGUCGAAUGUUAAAGAUCGGGGCUCAACCCCGCAAAGCAUUGGAAACUGAUAAACUUGAGUAGUGGAGAGGAAAGUGGAAUUCCUAGUGUAGUGGUGAAAUACGUAGAUAUUAGGAGGAAUACCAGUAGCGAAGGCGACUUUCUGGACACACACUGACGCUGAGGUACGAAAGCGUGGGGAGCAAACAGG
rnacentral:rRNA from 1 species